CUCUGGAGGUCAUCUGAUCCAGCCCCCCUGCUCAAGCAAGGCCACCUCCGUCAGGUUGCCCAGGACCAUGGCCAGACAGCUUUUGAAUAUCUCCAGGGAUGGAGACUCCCAACAACCUCCCUGGGCAACCUGUGCCAGUGCUCAGCCACCCUCAUAGUAAAAAAGUGUUUUCUGAGCCUCCUGUGUUCCAGUUUGUGCCCAUUGCCUGUCACUGGGCACCACUGAAAAGAGCCUGUCUCCGUCAUCUUUAUACCCUCCCUUCAGAUUUGUAACUAUUGAUGAGAUUCCCCCCCUCAGCCUUCCCUUAACAGGGAUGAAGUACUAAAGGAGGGCUGAAAUAGGCCAAGCUGCCUAGUCAGGGGCUAAGGUGACAUAUCUACUCAGCAAAAACCUCUGGUGCUGUUCUUGCUGCUGUUGAAUGAUUACAACACUUCCUGAGACUUGGUUUUUCUCAGGCAAACAUGUAAAUGUUGCACUUAAUGACUGUGUCUUGGGUGUUUGUUGGAGCCUGGAUGCUCUUCCAGCCAGAGCUUACCUAGCCUGAGAGCUUUUCAAAACACCCUGCAAAAACACCUGAAAAAGUCAGUGAAGACUUAUUUAGACAUCCUGGAUCACUCAACAGCCUACUGUUACUUUAUGCCUUGUGCCAGAUUCAAUAUCCAGACUGGACAAAAGUAUCUUAGGCUUGAGUGUAGUCAUGAAAAGCAGCCUGUAAGUAUGUUGGUGAUUGCUAGUUCCUAUUGCAUAUUUUGCAUCUUUCCUGAAAUGAGCCCCUAUCUCUUGUUUGCAGAGCUCACGUAGGGUCUUCAGUCCCCAGAAGAGACCAGCUGGGUUACAUGUUAGUUGCUUUACCUCUCAACAAGCAUUCAGAGGGGUGAGGAAGAGGAAGGAAAGCAGAGGGAGUGAAGGGCUGCCGCUCUACCAGAAGGGUGGGAGAGAAUCAAAUUCUUGUGGGUACUUCUUUGCACACAGACUUAUUUCCUGAUACGGAGAAUCACAAACAUGACCUUGAAUUCCCUGUAAGGUGUUUUCCAACUGUUGGUUAGCUU